rnacentral:tRNA from 3 species
GCGUCGGUGAUGUAGGGGUAGCAUCUGAGCCUUCCAAGCUCAUGGCCCGGGUUCAAAUCCCGGCCGGCGCACCA